rnacentral:snoRNA from 1 species
AAGACUAUACUUUCAGGGAUCAUUUCUAUAGUUUGUUACUAGUAAUGGGGAUAAAUGACCCCUACAGUAAAAGGUACUCUGGGACUACC